rnacentral:rRNA from 1 species
CAAGUCGAACGGUAGCACAGAGAGCUUGCUCUCGGGUGACGAGUGGCGGACGGGUGAUUAAUGUCUGGGAAACUGCCUGAUGGAGGGGGAUAACUACUGGAUACGGUAGCUAAUACCGCAUAACGUCGCAAGACCAAAGAGGGGGACCUUCCGGCCUCUUGCCAUCAGAAGUGCCCAGAUGAGAUUAGCUAGUAUGCGGGGGAACGGCUCACCUAGGCGACGAUCCCGAACUGGUCUGAUAGGAUGACCAGCCACUCUGCAACUGAUACUCAGUCCAGACUCCUACUGGAGGGAUUUAUGGGGGAUAUUCCCCUAUGGGCGCCAGCCCGAAGCUUUCCUGCCCCGGGAUAGGAAGGCCCUCGGGGUGGAAAGUACUUUCAAUGUUGAGGAAGGUGUUGA